rnacentral:rRNA from 1 species
GAUGAACGCUGGCGGCGUGCCUAAUACAUGCAAGUCGAGCGAACAGACGAGGAGCUUGCUCCUCUGACGUUAGCGGCGGACGGGUGAGUAACACGUGGAUAACCUACCUAUAAUACUGGGAUAACUUCGGGAAACCGGAGCUAAUACCGGAUAAUAUAUUGAACCGCAUGGUUCAAUAGUGAAAGACGGUUUUGCUGUCACUUAUAGAUGGAUCCGCGCCGCAUUAGCUAGUUGGUAAGGUAACGGCUUACCAAGGCAACGAUGCGUAGCCGACCUGAGAGGGUGAUCGGCCACAUUGGAACUGAGACGCGGUCCAGACUCCUACGGGAGGCAGCAGUAGGGAAUCUUCCGCAAUGGGCGAAAGCCUGACGGAGCAACGCCGCGUGAGUGAUGAAGGUCUUCGGAUCGUAAAACUCUGUUAUUAGGGAAGAACAAAUGUGUAAGUAACUAUGCCCGUCUUGACGGUACCUAAUCAGAAAGCCACGGCUAACUACGUG